AACGAACGCUGGCGGCAGGCUUAACACAUGCAAGUCGAGCGCCCCGCAAGGGGAGCGGCAGACGGGUGAGUAACGCGUGGGAAUCUACCCAUCACUACGGAACAACUCCGGGAAACUGGAGCUAAUACCGUAUCCGUCCUUCGGGAGAAAGAUUUAUCGGUGAUGGAUGAGCCCGCGUUGGAUUAGCUAGUUGGGGGGGUAAUGGCCUACCAAGGCGACGAUCCAUAGCUGGUCUGAGAGGAUGAUCAGCCACACUGGGACUGAGACACGGCCCAGACUCCUACGGGAGGCAGCAGUGGGGAAUAUUGGACAAUGGGCGAAAGCCUGAUCCAGCCAUGCCGCGUGAGUGAUGACGGCCCUAGGGUUGUAAAGCUCUUUCGCAGGUGAAGAUAAUGACGGUAACCUGAGAAGAAGCCCCGGCUAACUUCGUGCCAGCCGCCGCCGUAAAAC
rnacentral:rRNA from 1 species